UGGCGAACGGGUGAGUAAUAUAUCGGAACGUAUCCAAUAAUGGGGGAUAACUAAUCGAAAGGUUAGCUAAUACCGCAUACGCCCUGAGGGGGAAAGCUAGGGACCGCAAGGCCUGGCGUUAAUGGAGCGGCCGAUAUCUGAUUAGCUAGUUGGUGAGGUAAAGGCCCACCAAGGCUUCGAUCAGUAGCUGGUCUGAGAGGACGACCAGCCACACUGGAACUGAGACACGGUCCAG
rnacentral:rRNA from 1 species